rnacentral:rRNA from 1 species
UUACAGUUUCUUCUGAGUGUGCCGCAAGGCAAAAUACAAAUGAAUCAAAACUUUCAACAACGGAUCUCUUGGUUCUGGCAUCGAUGAAGAACGCAGCGAAAUGCGAUAAGUAAUGUGAAUUGCAGAAUUCAGUGAAUCAUCGAAUCUUUGAACGCACAUUGCGCCCGCCAGAAUUCUGGCGGGCAU